AUGCAUGUUUUCCAUCACAUGUAUGCAGCCAUGUAUGCCAAGCAAGGCUGGCCUCAGAUGGGUGCCACAACUUGGGGUGUCUUUGGCUCGCUUGUGAAGGAGAGUAAGGGGAAGAGGCAAGGUUGUGCUGCUACACCUCAUCGUUUGUCCGCUCGGUCUGCAAUGCUCUCCAACGACAGGUUGGAGAUGAAGUGGUUGCACGCGAAGUGA
rnacentral:rRNA from 1 species